UUUUGGCCAUUCACCACCAAAGGCCCUUAAUCUUCUUCAUCGCCAAAACUCACUGAUUUUUCUUCAUCUUCGACAUCAUGUUCCCAGAUAUGGCUUUGGAUUCUCCUAAUUCCAAGCUUAAACCCUCCAAAUAAGAUUAAACUUUGAACCCUAAAUUUAAAAAAUAAUCCUAAAUUGAACGUUAUUCCUGAAGCUAAUUAACAAAUCAUAUUGGAUCUACGAUUAUACACACAGAUGCACACGACAUGGCAUGGAAAAAACGUGAAGGGAAUGGUUCAAAGUACCUGGUUCGACGGCGCCGGCGAGUCUCUUCGGUGAGUUUCCUUUUUCUCCUUCGUUUUUGUUAAUCUGCUUCUCUUCCUCUUUUGCGAACUUUUCUGCUGUUAGUUAUUGUGUUGUAGCUGUUGGAAAUUUUCGGUACGCAGGGGCUGAGCUCUGAGUAAUUUCAAGCUUUAGGGUGAAACAUCAAUUACUCGGUAGUGAGAGCUUUAAGUGAAUAGGUUUUGGGAGACUUUUGUUGAGUGAGAAAUUAGGGCUCGGUUGUUUUUUAUGCAGAUGAAAUUCGAUGUCCCUUUGUGUUCAUAACCAAGUAAUUAUAUACUGAUGGAAAAUAUCCCUGUUCGUGUGAGACUUGAGAAAAGUAAGGGAGUGUCUUGACUCAGAAAUAUUAGGAGCUGAGGGUGAACUGAGUGAAUUUAGGGAGUUAAGGUUGGACUGAGAUAAUUGAGGGUUAAAGAGUGUUUAGGUGGAGAGGUGGACUGAGAAAAGUCAGGGGUUGAGACUUGACUCUGUGACUUGAAUUUGAUGAGUCAGAUUGAAUCAAUUGGAGAGAAUUUAAGAGUUGAAGGAAUACUGAGAAAUCAUGGAGUGAUGUGGCUAAGGGUCCUUAUUUUCCAAGCUUCUUGGGUUGUGAAUUGUGAGACUUUGGAAUCGUGAGCUGAAUGGUAAAAUGAGGGAUUAAGGUGGAUUAAAAUUCCCUAUCUUUCAUGAGUUUUGAAUGUAACCGUGGCACUGCUUGAUUCAAAUUUUACUGAUAUCUAGAUUUGAAUAAUCUUUGUUGUUUUGACAGAUUCAAAUUCAACUUGGAGUACACAACAUGAAGAACGCUGCUUGGAAGGCUUUGAGGAGUUUCAUAUUGUGACUACUUAAUUUUCUUGAGUGUUAAAGUCACUGUCCUCAGAACUGUAAGCUUAAUUAAGCAAUGUCAACUCAAAAGGGAAGCAUGGAUAGUGGAUCUGCAAGGAAAGUAUGAAACUUGCUGAGUACAGGAUGAAGGAUUUGAGACUAACCUCAUUGGAUUUGAAGAUAUGGAACUCAAUAUUUCACUUGUUUCGAGAAGAUUGAGAAUUUUGCACAGAGGGUAUCUGAGCUCAUAGAAUGAGGAAACACAAUGUUUAAGGAUCUCUGUAAUGAAUUUGAAGAGAAACUGAUUAUAAUUCACACGGAGCAAGUCGAAAAAUGGCAGGAAGAAAUCAAAGAAUUGUGUGCACUUGAUGCGUCAAAUUAGGAUGAUGUUUUCGGGACCUCUCUUAUAACAAUCUAAGUGGUUUCUUCCCAAUAAUUAUCAUAGUUUAAAUCUUUGAGAGACCUUUACUAAUUUUAACUUAUGUUAUAUUAUAUUGGUAUAUGAGUUUGUAGGACUAAUAGAACUCAAUUUUGCUAGUAGCCAUGGAGUGAACAUGUCAUUGUUGUAAAGUACUUUUUUAGACCUUGUUGUGAUAUUUAUGAACAAGUGGAUUUGAUUUAAAAUAUUUGGUACUGAUAGAUCAUAUGUAUUCAAUGAGUAACUAAAGUGUUAUUUGGUAUUGAAUUGAAUGCAACUUUUUGA